GCAAGACGGAUGCACCUCUGUAAAUGGAUGCAUGUCAGUUUGAAUGAGGCUGCGGGAGCGGGUGAGCUGUGGGAUCAGAUAACACCAGCUGGUCGCUCUGCUCCAGGAGAGCUCAUUCAUGCCCAGGAGCAGUGGGCAUGCUGCCCCAUCCCUGAGGAGACUGCAGUGGGUUCCCCUCUAAUCUGGCUGGGCAGCUCCACUAACAGUUUUUACAGAGCUCUGGCUGGACUUCCAAAUGAGAGGACAAGAAAACAAGGCAAGAAAAGUUUUGGACCAAGCUGUAAACCCGAAUGGACUGAUUGGUUUCAUUGAGCUGGUUGUGUCUGUAACUUCCUGGAAGGUGGAGGUGUCCGGGCACAAGGAACUUGGUCUUCAGUCCAUGCUAAUUUAUGCAAU